GACGAACGCUGGCGGCGUGCCUAACACAUGCAAGUCGAGCGAAUGAAGUUCCUUCGGGAACGGAUUUAGCGGCGGACGGGUGAGUAACACGUGGGCAACCUGCCUCAUAGAGGGGAAUAACGGCUGGAAACGGUCGCUAAUACCGCAUGAAGUGUUCGGAUGGCAUCAUCUGAACAUCAAAGAUUUAUCGCUGAAAGAUGGGCUCGCGUCUGAUUAGGUAGUAGGCGGGGUAACGGCCCACCUAGCCUACGAUGGAUAGGGGUUCUGAGAGGAAGGUCCCCCACAUUGGAACUGAGACACGGUCCAAACUCCUACGGGAGCAGCAGUGAGGAAUAUUGGUCAAUGGGACGAGAGUCUGAACCAGCCAAGUAGCGUGAAGGAUGAAGGUCCUACGGAUUGUAAACUUCUUUAUAAGGGAAUAAACCUCCCACGUGUGGGAGCUUGUAUGUACCUUAUGAAUAAGCAUCGGCUAACUCCGUG
rnacentral:rRNA from 1 species